GACGAACGCUGGCGGCGUGCCUAAUACAUGCAAGUAGAACGCUGAAGGAGGAGCUUGCUUCUCUGGAUGAUUUGCGAACGGGUGAGUAACGCGUAGGUAACCUGCCUCUUAGCGGCGGAGAACUCUUGGAAACGAUAGCUAAUACCGCAUAAUAUUAGAUGUUGCAUGACAUUUGCUUAAAAGAUGCAAUUGCAUCACUACCAGAUGGUCCUGCGUUGCAUUAGCUAGUUGGUGGUGUAACGGCUCACCACCGCGACGAUACAUAGCCGACCGGAGAGGGGGAUACGCCGAACUGGGAAUGAGACACGGCCCAGGAUCCUACGGGAGGCAGCAGGAGGGGAUCUUUGGGAAAGGGCGGAAGGCUGACCGGGGCACGCCGGGGGAGGGAAGGAGGUUGUCGGGUCGUAAAGAUUAGUUGUAAGGGAAGGAAGAGAGUGGGAGUGGACAGUUCACAUUGUGACGGUACCUGAUCAGAAAGCGACGGCUAACUACGUG
rnacentral:rRNA from 1 species